GACGAACGCUGGCGGCGUGCUUAACACAUGCAAGUCGAACGCUGAAGCUUGGUGCUUGCACUGGGUGGAUGAGUGGCGAACGGGUGAGUAAUACGUGAGUAACCUGCCCUUGACUCUGGGAUAAGCCUGGGAAACUGGGUCUAAUACUGGAUACGACAUGCCACUGCAUGGUGGUGUGUGGAAAGGGUUUUACUGGUUUUGGAUGGGCUCACGGCCUAUCAGCUUGUUGGUGGUGUAAUGGCCUACCAAGGCGACGACGGGUAGCCGGCCUGAGAGGGUGACCGGCCACACUGGGACUGAGACACGGCCCAGACUCCUACGGGAGGCAGCAGUGGGGAAUAUUGCACAAUGGGCGGAAGCCUGGUGCAGCGACGCCGCGUGAGGGAUGACGGCCUUCGGGUUGUAAACCUCUUUCAGCACGGAAGAAGCGAGAGUGACGGUACGUGCAGAAGAAGCGCCGGCUAACUACGUG
rnacentral:rRNA from 1 species